rnacentral:rRNA from 1 species
GACGAACGCUGGCGGCGUGCCUAAUACAUGCAAGUAGAACGCACAGUUUAUACCGUAGCUUGCUACACCAUAGACUGUGAGUUGCGAACGGGUGAGUAACGCGUAGGUAACCUGCCUGGUAGCGGGGGAUAACUAUUGGAAACGAUAGCUAAUACCGCAUAAUAUUGAUUAUUGCAUGAUAAUUGAUUGAAAGAUGCUAUUGCAUCACUACCAGAUGGACCUGCGUUGUAUUAGCUAGUAGGUGAGGUAACGGCUCACCUAGGCGACGAUACAUAGCCGACCUGAGAGGGUGAUCGGCCACACUGGGACUGAGACACGGCCCAGACUCCUACGGGAGGCAGCAGUAGGGAAUCUUCGGCAAUGGACGAAAGUCUGACCGAGCAACGCCGCGUGAGUGAAGAAGGUUUUCGGAUCGUAAAGCUCUGUUGUAAGAGAAGAACGGGUGUGAGAGUGGAAAGUUCACACUGUGACGGUAGCUGACCAGAAAGGGACGGCUAACUACGUG